rnacentral:tRNA from 1 species
AGGGGUGUGGCUCAGUGGGAGAGCACUUGCCUAGCAUGUGUGAAGCACUGGGUUCAAUUCUCAGCACCACAU